AUUGUCUUCUAAUUCACUACACAGGCAAGGGCCUUUUUCUCUUUACUGGACAGCCUGGUUGAGCUGUCCACAAUCCAAACUGUGAAAUUAAGAAAUAAUGGUCUGAGUUCUGAGCAGAUUGAGUAUUUUAUUAAACAGUUCAGUAGCUGUCACCAACACAGAGACUUCAGGAUUGAGAGAGCCGUGGCUGACAGGAAAUGCUGUUGUCAGUCUCAUUGCCAAAUGCCUCAAUCUGCAGCCACACAUCAAAGAAAUCAGUGUGCGG